UACAGAGGUGGCAAGCGUUGUUCGGAAUUACUGGGCGUAAAGGGCGAGUAGGUGGCCAUCUAAGUCAGACGUGAAAUCCCCGGGCUCAACCCGGGAACUGCGUCCGAUACUGGAAGGCUUGAAUCCGGGAGAGGGAUGUGGAAUUCCAGGUGUAGCGGUGAAAUGCGUAGAUAUCUGGAGGAACACCGGUGGCGAAGGCGACAUCCUGGACCGGUAUUGACGCUGAGGCGCGAAAGCCAGGGGAGCAAACGGG
rnacentral:rRNA from 1 species